AUGGACAUGAAGGCCUCCACUAAGCUCCUGGGUCUUCCACUGCUUCUCUGGCUCCCACGAUGCAGAUGUGACAUUCAGAUGAACCAGUCUCCACCCUCCCUGUCUGUAUCUCUGGGAGACAAAGUCACCAUCAAUUGCCAGGCCAGUCAGAGCAUUUACAGCUUCCUGGCUUGGUAUCAGCAGAAGCUGGGGAAAGCGCCUAUGCUCCUGAUCUAUGCUGCUCUGAAUUUACAAUCUGGGGUUCCAUUGAGGUUCAGUGGCAGUGGAUCUGGAACAGAUUUCACUCUCACCAUCAGCAUCCUGGAGUCUGAAGAUAUUGCUACUUAUUACUGUCAAUAG